UUUUCUCCCAUUCACCGGGUUUGACCAUCUUACACGUCGUAUUCCCCUUGGGAUCGGCUAGCCUAGGUAGGAGGCGCCGGCGUCCAAGGCUGUGGGGGACGUCGUUGUGUUGGGGCGUUAGGGGACGGGGCGGCGGCCAGGCUUGGGGACGGCAGGCGGCGGCCAGGCUUGGGGACGGCAGGCGGCGGCUGGUGGUGGCGCUAGCAAGCAACGGUGGUGGACGCGACGGACCCGAUAAUACGGACCGACGCAAAACCCGCUUUAUUAGAGCGACCUCUGUCUCCGCCCUCUUCUCAGCAGCUAAAGCAACACGUUAGCCCAUUCUCUCCUCCUCAAACUAACGACAAACACGCCGUUCGUGUCAGGUUUUCCUCAUUAAUAAUAAGCCUCAAACACACAACUCUUCAACAUUGGUCUAUGAGGAGGGAGAGGAGAUUGUUAGAGGAGGGCAAACCUCCUCUCGGCCAGGUUUAUUUGUUUCCUCACCCUCCUCAUCCUCCCCAACGAGUAGAUAGAUUAUUCAACCGUAGGGACUAAACAAAAAGCGGCCGCUAAUCAGACGAAACAACGCGGCCGGGUUUACUUGUAUCGUCCUCGCCUCAUAAGCUUAUUCCGGUCGAGUCCGCAGGCGGUAACAGUGUCUAGGUUAUUCCAGCUAGGCUAAUCGCGUAUAGAGGGCUGUAGUAAUUCCGGUCAACAACCAGGCUAGUCGGUGUUAUUUCGCUGAUAACUUCUGCGACGACUGCUACCUCUGCCCCUGUCUGAAUCGUUCGAGGGUUUACUGGAAAACGAGUUGUAAGACCUCUCCCACCUGUGUGAGCUACGUAAUUCCCGGACGAAGGAGAGGUUCGUUUACGACUUCGAGGGGUGGAACGAGAGCGUUGAGAAGGAUUCGCGACCAAGGUAAGGUCCAGUGGUACUAAGUCGAGCACAAAAGUCUGGUUCACUUCAUGAGGCUUGGUUGGCACGACACCGAGUACAUUGCCUAUUGUAUAACUCGUGUUCCUCGGGCCUCUAGUGGUAGUCGUUUGAGUUUUAGUUUAAGCAGAACUGUGUCGUACUCAGAGAGUGGUAACCGUUUAGACAGCGCGCACGCUACCGUUGGGUCUUCAAACCGCGUCGGCUCAAACUCCAGUGUUGCCUGUUCCGAAUAUUCUAGACGAGAGGACGACUAAAGGAGGUGAAACCCUUCGUCAAGUUACUAAAACAGCCACGAACAGGCCUACGUAAACGACCGGAAUGCGCGGACACCGACGCGUUAUACUCCAAACCACUUAAGCUGUAGGGGUUGUAGGAGUCGUGAACGUUCGAGAACCUCAGAAACGCAAAUUCGGUAACGCUGAGUCCCUAGGUAAGACACGACGUUCAUCUUGUACGAGUUGAACGACUCGAGCUCUAGCUGGUCCCCUUUAAACUCUCUCAACUCGACUAUACAGAUGGUUUUGAGGUUGCACACUCUAUAUUAUUAACCACGAGAAUACUUCUAGGGGAUAUAAAACCAAAACGUGGUGUCGAAAGCUUCGAGUAGGAGUGAUUUUGACGACAGGCAAGCGUUUUCUGGGAACUCAAUUCAGUCGAGGAACGAUUACAAAGAAGGUAUUCGCUAGAAGUAGACCUAAAAUCUUCACUUUUCUAAACCCAGGACGGUCUUACGGGUUUUGACGAGUGCGGACACGAGUCGUUUGAUGUCGUACACUUAGACCUGGUAGAAGGACUUCCGACACUAAAUCGAACCUGUUACAAAUAAGAACUUCGACGUGGGAGGAAUUUUCUCGACACGUAGUGUAAUACCCUAGUAACCACGUAUUACUGCUGUCUGUUACUCAAAGCCUUCUUUAUACCAAAGACACUUUUCUAGCUGUACUUCACCUUCGGUAUACGGGGACUAAAGUUCGUGUUCUUAGACCGAUUCGAGUGGUAGAUACCGAAGGUUGGGCUGCUGUUGGAAGACGCUAUGUAAUCCAGACAGUACCUUGUACGCCAAUUAUACCGUCUCUAUAGAGACGUACUGUCCUUCCACACACACUCGACAUCACUGAACCUAAGACUCUAGUUCCUGUUCAAAACAGGUAGUUCUAUAGGUGCUUGACGGCUCUUCUCCUUCGUCUGUUGGCUCCUCAAUCCAAGCGAACGAUACUAAGUGAAGUCCAGGAUUAAGUUUUUUACAAAAAGAAGCUUUUAGUGGACAAGAUAGUAGAAAAUCAACCUUCCUCAAGGACUUGGAGUAUUAAGACAUCAAUGGUUCAGACAUGAGGACUAAAGGAAUUCAACUUCGCACACAUGAUAACGGAUUAACUCCUUUAUACAUCAUUCAAGCUUGUUGCAUAAACACCGGUGGAAAAAUAAACUUUGGUUUACGAACUACGUAUCCUUAUUCAACUACACAAG
rnacentral:rRNA from 1 species